rnacentral:rRNA from 1 species
GACGAACGCUGGCGGCAGGCCUAACACAUGCAAGUCGAGCGAGCGGCGGACGGGUGAGUAAUGUCUGGGAAACUGCCUGAUGGAGGGGGAUAACUACUGGAAACGGUAGCUAAUACCGCAUACCAUCAGAUGUGCCCAGAUGGGGUUAGCUAGUAGGUGGGGUAACGGCUCACCUAGGCGACGAUCCCUAGCGGUUAUGAGAGGAUGACCAGCCACACUGGAACUGAGACACGGUCCAGACUCCUACGUGAGGCAGCAGUGGGGAAUAUGGCACAAGGGGCGCAAGCCUGAUGCAGCCAUGCCGAGUGUGUGAAGAAGGCCUUCGGGUUGUAAAGCACGUUCAGCGGUGAGGCGUUACCCGCAGAAGAAGCACCGGCUAACUCCGUGCCAGCCGCCGCGGUAAUAC